GUUAUCACGACGGCGGCUCGCGCGACAAGUGUCCGGCGAGCGUGUCCUUAUCAUAACGUCGUAAAUAAAGUAAAAACAGCCGUAUCACGCGAGAAUGUGAGAUAGUGGCGUUAAGCGCAGUGUAAACACGCGCAUUAUCAUCGUUUCCGACUGUUCGUCGUCGUAUUAUUCUAUCCGUCGCGGCGUCGUGAAGAAGCAGAACCUUCGUUGUUGCGUACCCGCAAAUAAUCGCGAACAAUAUACCUGUUGGCCGUUAUAACUAUAACCGUGGUCGGCCGGGAAAUAUUCUAGAAAUAUCCGUAGGUGUGCGCCGACGCCGUCGUCAUCGUCGUAGUUUCGGGUGGAAAAGCUGAGAGGAACCGUACGCGCGGGCUCGGCUGCGGCGGAGGACGACGACCGGGCACAGCGCAAUCGCGGAACGAUUUAUGUUUCCCGCCGCCGGUGGCCACCCGCAACAGUCGUCGUCGAGACGACGCCGCGCCGCCGUACGUCUGUCGUCUCACUCGGCACCGUCUAACUGCGUACGUGACACUCGCAGUCUGCUGCAGUGGUGAGCAGUCCGUCGUCUCCCGACGGGUUUUCCGUCUUUCUUCCGUCGAGGGGGCAGUCGCGUUUUGCGCUGGGUUUUCUUUGGCUUACGUCGCAUUUCCCGUCUUCCUGUCGCGCAUUCGUUUCGUCCGUGACAUUUGCGUGCCAUGGAGGAAGCAACUUCCAACGACGUCGUUGCCGACCGAAACCUCAGCAUGCAGAGUACCAUUGACCGUUUACUUCAUAUGAUAACUGAGGAAAGAGAUGAAAUGGUAUUGAAUUCAGUUGUAGCGUCUCUUCAAACCUUAUCAAAAUCUCACUCCACACAAAUUGUUCAAAAUAUGAUACAUUAUAAACUUCAAAAUUCGUUGAGUGUCGUUGAAUCUAAAAGCUUGCUCUCUGCUAUGAAACUACUUUGUGAAAGCCACUAUGAUGAUUUUGAUGUGGAGCUUACAAAUAAUUUGGUUCAAUUUGCCACAAAUGAAAUGUUUAAAUCCUCAGACUCUCAGUUCCCAGCGUCAGAUAUGUUGAUCAUCUUAGGCCGAGGAAGAUCUGAUCAGGUAAAAUAUGUGGAUAGAAUAUGAUUGUGUGUGGUGCUUAUCGACAAUACCUAUUUUAUAAUACAAUUAGGUAUGUUGAAUUUACGCUGUGUCUAGAGCGCCGGGCGCCCGGUUACACUGUAGAGCGCCGGGCGCCCGGUUACACUGUAGAGCGCCGGGCGCCCGGACAUGUAAUAGAGUACCGGGCGCCCGGUUACACUGUAGAGCGCCGGGUCACACUGUAAAUAUGAAAAUAUGAUAAUACCACAGAACAAUAAUAAUACGAAGAAAAUAGAAAUACAUUGUUCUAUAACUUUAAUUUUGUUAUAGUAAGUUAUUAGUUAUUAGUUAGGUAUUAGUUAUUUUUUUUUUAUUAGUUAAUACAUACAAUUAUAAUAAAAUAAUAAAUCACAGUAAUCAGCUAUACGAAACCGAUAGUUAUAUAAUAAUAAACACAUCCUCCAUGCACACAACAAAAUUUAAUAUAGUAAUAUUUUAAGUCACUGGAUGCUGUCAUCAUUCUGCCAUUUGGAAAUUUCGCGUUAAUGGAGGUUAAUGUCUUGCAGUCUUUUAUAAAGAAAUCUACAAAAUUCACGUCUUUGUAGACCCUAAAGCUGCUCUCGAACUCUUCAAAUGAUUUAUAGCUAUCUUGGAGCUUCAUAAUAAUUAUAUAUAUAACAGAUAAUUUACUUUAAACACUGAAAAAUAACUGAUGAACACUGAAUAACUUGUACAAGGUUAGUGCAAUUAACUUUUAUAGGUUAGUACAGCUUUAUACUUAUCAUCGGGUUAUACAAUGGAAAGGAUAUAAAGGUAGGUAAAAGCCAAAUAAACAAUUAAAGUUUUCCUAAUAAAAAUCUAUUAUUAAAUAUUUAAAUUACGCGCCCAAUGCAGUUCGGUGUGAUACUCAACAGGUAAUUUACAGUGUGACCCGGUACAGUGUAAUCGAGCGCCCGGUACUCUUUAAUAUAUCCGGGCGCCCGGCGCUCUACAGUGUAACCGGGCGCCCGGUACUCUAUUACAUGUCCGGGCGCCCGGCGCUCUAGACACAGCG